rnacentral:rRNA from 1 species
AUUGAACGCUGGCGACAUGCCUUACACAUGCAAGUCGAACGGCAGCACGGGUGCUUGCACCUGGUGGCGAGUGGCGAACGGGUGAGUAAUACAUCGGAACAUGUCCUGUAGUGGGGGAUAGCCCGGCGAAAGCCGGAUUAAUACCGCAUACGAUCUACGGAUGAAAGCGGGGGACCUUCGGGCCUCGCGCUAUAGGGUUGGCCGAUGGCUGAUUAGCUAGUUGGUGGGGUAAAGGCCUACCAAGGCGACGAUCAGUAGCUGGUCUGAGAGGACGACCAGCCACACUGGGACUGAGACACGGCCCAGACUCCUACGGGAGGCAGCAGUGGGGAAUUUUGGACAAUGGGCGAAAGCCUGAUCCAGCAAUGCCGCGUGUGUGAAGAAGGCCUUCGGGUUGUAAAGCACUUUUGCCCGGAAAGAAAUCCUUGGCCCUAAUACGGUCGGGGGAUGACGGUACCGGAAGAAUAAGCACCGGCUAACUACGUG